GACAGAGGGUGCAAACGUUGUUCGGAAUUACUGGGCGUAAAGCGCGUGUAGGCUGCUCUGUGUGUCGGAUGUGAAAGCCCUGGGCUCAACCUAGGAAGUGCAUUCGAAACUACAGAGCUUGAGUUCUGGAGAGGAAAGCGGAAUUCUCGGUGUAGAGGUGAAAUUCGUGAGAUAUCGAGAGGAACACCGGUGGCGAAGGCGGCUUUCUGGACAGUAACUGACGCUGAGACGCGAAAGCGUGGGGAGCAAACAGG
rnacentral:rRNA from 1 species